rnacentral:ribozyme from 1 species
UGCCCAGCAACUCCUAUCCCUACCUCCUCGUGGUACUGGCCGGGGUACGAGUAACCUUGGGGAAGAUCGGGUAACCAACCCCGAUGGGAGCUUUGGGUGUUUGCUGACAGGGAAGG